CUGUGUCUGUAUUUCAGGAGGAGGCAGUGAAUUUGUCUAACGUGCCCGGGGAGUACCAGGACCUGACAGAAGUGUUCAGUAAGUCUCGUGCUGCUUCUCUUCCUCCACAUCGUCCCUAUGACUGUGCCAUAGACUUAGUGCCAGGGUACAUCGUCUCGUCUGAGGGAAUGCGUAUGGAUCCUGACAAGGUUAAGGCUGUGAUAGAUUGGCCAAGUCCAGAUUCCCAACGACGUUCAGGUGGUCUGAUACAGCGGAAGCUGUAUUUGCCAAACUUAAGAGCCGCUUCG